ensembl:lncRNA
UAAACAAAACACCUCCCUCAGUCCCUGUUGUCUGACUACCUGAAGCACUCGGGAGUUAUCUCUACCAGUCUCCCUGCUAUGGUGCUCGCCAAACCUUUUGUUCUCAUUCAGUGUCAUGAGAUUCCUUUUAGAAAUUAAAAAAUCCCACCAUGGCAGAUGCAUUUUACUGAAUAAAUUGUUUGAAUUUGCUCAAGUCUGGGAAACUUGAGGUCACCUGUUAAUUUUUUGAAGGGGUAGGACUGACAACAGAUUCACCCAAGCUCAUUUCACACUGUGAUGUUCCCAGCAGUGUCAAGGUUGGCCUCCACCAGCACGGCAUGGGCAGCACUGGUCUGUAGCAGGGCUCUGGUCCCUACAUUUGGUGUCUCUAUGCCCACUGCGGUUGCAGUGUCCAUCCUUCCCUUAUGGGACAGAAUGCAAAACACUAAAGGGGAUGCUGGAAAACAAGAUGUUUGUGCCAGGUUUUCUUGCACGCUGUUUUAUUUCUAGCAUUGUUGCUUUUGACACUCAAUGAAGUUAGAAAAUGUGAUCAGCUCACUGAGGAGGCCUCAAGUUUUAUUGUCUGCUUAGUGGGAAUAAGGAUGGUGCAUAAUUCCAUUGUUUUGAAAGCUCUAAUCUAGAAACCCAGACAAGCCUAUAUUUCUUUUAAACAAGUAUCUGAUUUAUUUUUAAGCAAUCCGAGUUAAAAAGGAACUAGGAUUGAAGUUAUACAGUCAUCAUUAAUGAAAUUUUAUAUGGAAUAGCAUUUCACAUACAAAAUAAUUAAGUCUCUGUGUUGAUUAAGGAUUAACCGAAUCUUUAGUAUUCCUUUCUGAAUGGCAGCUUCAGUCUUCAGAUAGAUUGCCUUUGAAGUCAAUAGGAGAAGCCACGUGUUCAUCAAAAUAUGGAAGUUAUCUUUGUCAUUAACCUUGAGAAGCUUCAUCGAUUACUGGCAAUCCAGUUUGACUUGAGAGGAGCCCUGUCACCAAGGUGAUCGUGCAGCUGGUUUUCCAAUGUUUCUAAUACUCACUAAAUUUCUAUGAGCUUUCUAUUGAACUCCUAUUUCUUCUGAUACUGGCUCAGCAAUUGGAUCACCCCCGUGGCCGUUUAAGUAAAAGAUAGUUAGCAAGCCUACAUUUUAGAUUAACUGUACAGCAAAACAGUGUUGCAUGUCAUCGCACAAAAACAUUCCUGAGUGCUGGAGGGUUGGUUGGCUGUUCUUGCAGGCUGUUCUCCCUGGCAUUGAAACACCUGUGUGGGUGCAGUCAGACCUGUGGGAGGCUGUGAUAAUGGAUGAUGAAUUAAGUCCGAAGUCUUCUUCCAGAAAUGGGGUUGGCUGGCCGAGCUCCUGGACGUCACAGCUCCCUCUGUACAGCCACAGAGAUAGUUGCCUGUAGCACCUCCAGCCCUACUGUCACAGCUUCAGAUGUCAUUUGUUUCCAAAUAACGAGGCACAUCCCGUUGUGAUGUUCUGAUCCAGCAAACAGCCUCCGCUCUUCUUGUUCACUGGGGAAUGUACAUGCCUUGUGGAAGCUACUGCAGCAACAUUGAAGAGAAGGGAGUUCUCACAAUUGAAGCCAGCAGCCCGAUUUGUCUCUUCUGCUGAAGGAAAGCUAAACAUGCAAAUCGGGCAGGCGGCUGAGGAUCGUAAAAGGACGAGCAGGGUGCAAUAUACACAGGGAGGAAAACAAAGAGAGAUGAGUCCUGACAGCAGAGAAAUUAUACCUGGCUUCAUGUGAGGGCACAGACCUGGCCCUGGCUGCCCCAAGAUCACUGCACACUGCCAGCCAAGCUGUUCUCAUGCUUAAUUUACAGCCUGCAAGGUUCGUGCACCACCUAAUGAAAAAUCGCGAUGGGAACUUUGCAGGAGAAAGUAGGACAGUUGGCACAUUAUUCACAUUUCAGCAGAGGAGGGGAGAGCUCCUUUUGCCACGAGAACUGACCUCAUGGUGGUUUGACCUGCACAGAGGGCUGUCAUCGGGGCUUUAUGAUCAUUCCAAUUUGGAUUGUAACGUUAUGCUGAAAGUAACACUGGACUCUAUUAUCUUGCUUUGCCCUUUCCAUAAUUCAACGCCAUGUUUGCAGCAUAGCAGCAGUUCGAGGAGUUUGAGAAGUUUUGGUGGAGGUAGUCCAGCCUCGAUGCUGAGCAUUGCUCAGCAGCAUCGUUCACUCUGGAUACACCUCACGUGUGGGAAAAACAAUAAGGAUUACCUCAAGAUUACUCAUGUCCUCAAUUAGAAAUUGUUUUUCUCCUGUGACUUGUGUUGUUGAUAGCUGAAAUGGCUGUUCACACUACAAGUGGCCUUUUAUUCACCUGCCUUCAAGCUGUGGCUGAUAUUACCAAACUGAUAUCUUUAUUCUCACUGAUUUCAGGUGAAGCUUCUUUCUCCCUGUGAGUACCCAUCAGUCACUUCUCCAUUCAAGAGGCAGAACAUUGCUACCCAGACCUGCAUCUAAACAGUACAAUUUUCUUGACAACACCAGUUGUUUCUCGCAGUCCACGUUCAGAAGGUCCCAUGGACAGAAUUACACUUUAUCCACUUGAACUUUCAUAGUUUCCAGAAGUUCAUACGAUCUUUUCCAAACUCCCCAUGUUACACAAUUUCCUUGUUCUUUGGAGCAACCUCUCAGGCAGAAGGGUAUUACUAUAUCUAUAGCUGUAGUCCCAGGUAAUUGAAUUCUCCUCUUCCUCUACAAUUUGGCUCUGAAUCACGUUCUUUUUAAAUAAUAAAGUAAAAUACAAAAUAAACAUGACUACACAUAUCUGUUUUGUUUGACACAGGUCUCAGUAACAGAAAAUGGGAUUUUACUCUGCUAAUAAACUGGUAGAGUUUGCCCUUUCCUAUGAUGCACAUGUGCCUCAUAGGUGAAUUUAUCUCCCUGCAUCUUAGCACUUUAAAGCAGUAAUAAAAGAUGCUGAAGGCUCUGUGCUUAGGAAUAUGUCUAAGUAAGAACAAUUUUCUCACAAACCAAUUUUCG